rnacentral:tRNA from 1 species
GCCGAGGUAGCUCAGUGGUAGAGCAGUAGUUUUGUAAACUAUUGGCCGCAGGUUCAAAUCCUGUCCUCGGCUCCA